rnacentral:lncRNA from 13 species
CAAAUUUUUGUUGUUUUUAAGACACCCAGUUAGUGAUAUUUUGUUACAGUGGCCCUAGGCAACUACUACAGUCACUAUACAACCUAUUGCCUUCUAAUAAAUAUGCAUAUCUAAUGGUGAGACUCAGUAGACUCAGAGAAGCUUGACUAACAGGAAAUGACAGAGAGACAGUGUAGCAAACACUUAUUGGUGACUGAAGUGAUUGGAACCAAGUCCCAUAAAAAGCUUUCCCAAAUUCUUGUGUAGUUUUUGGUACAUAAGCUGGGGUAAUGUGUGGAAAAUGAGAGCUGCCAUAUGGGUCUCCUUAAACUUGGAGUUCCUUCUCUAUAUCUUUUUACCAACAUUUUCCAGAGCUUUAUUCUAGAGCUCUAAAUUUCAAGAACUUUAGACUUAAGGCUCUGACCAACAAGUGUUUGGUAUGCAACAAACAACAAGGUGUCAGUUAUUCCUCCCUCUAUCAAAAGUUGCAUUAGAGAGAGACCCAAUUCAACUGUGACAAAGAAAGUUCUCUAAAUAACUGGACAAAUACCUCAUUCAAUUUGCUUUAAUCUGUAGUCUUCAAAUGUGUACGUUCUAUACCUGAUUUGAUAACCAAUAUAAAUUUAUUUUUCCACAGAAUAAUCUUAAAAAGCAACCCUAAUCCUUCAUCCUGUAGCCUAGCCUGUUGUACUUACCUGCGACGGAGAAUAUAAACACAAGUUAUUAAAUGUUUUACUAAACUAUAAAUGUUUUACCAAAAGUAGUAUAGAUAUAGGUCAAAUAUUCAAUCAGAUCUUUUAAACCAUUGAUUUCAUAGCACAGAUUAUUUGUAGAGAUAUAUUUAAUUUAUAUAUUAAAUUAUUUUUCUAUUUAUUUACAAAAACAUUUUUAGCUUUAGUUUUUGAAAAAAUAAAUUUAUUUAUUCUAGAAAAAAAGAGGACUGAUUUCCUUCCAAAAAUAUAAUUCCAAGUUGUCUUGAAAUACAUUUUUUGGUGGCAGAUUUGGGAUGUUUCCCACUGUUGUCUGGGCGCUAGAAUGCAGUGGUGUGAUCUUGGCUCUCUGCAACCUCUGCCUCCUGGAUUCAAGUGAUUCUCCUGCCUCAGCCUCCUGAGUAGGUGGGAUUACAGCUGCCCAUCACCAUGCCUGGCUAAUUUUUUGUAUUUUCAGUAGAGAUGGGGUUUCACUGUAUUGGCCAGGCUUGUCUCAAGCUCCUGACCUCAUUAUCCCCCCACUUCGGCCUCCCAAAGUACUGGGAUUAGAGGUGCCCACCACUAUGCCUGGCUAGUUUUUUGUAUUUUCAAUAGAGAUGGGGUUUCACUAUGUUGGCCAUGCUGGCCUUGAACUCCUGAUCCUGUGAUCUGCCCACCUCAGUCUCCCAAAGUGCUGAGAUUACAGUUGUGAGCCACCAUGCCCACUCUGAUACUGUCUUAAAUUCUAAAUUACUGUGGCUUCAUUGGUAGGUGGUAGUAUAAUUCUUCCCAUUUUGUUCUUCUUCAAAAAUAUCUUUGCUUACUUUUGACCAUUUGUAUUUUCAUACAAAGUCUACAAUCAGCUUGUCAAGCUCUAUAAAAAUAGUCUGUUUGAAACUCAAUUAGAAUUCCACUGAAUUUAUAGCUCUGAUUGGGAAAACUGAUAUAUUUAUAAUAUUGAGUCUUCUAAUCCAUGAACAUAUGUACAUUACCUUAGAUCUUCCUUGAUUUUUUUUCAUACCAUUUCUUGUUUCUCAGAAACAAUUUGCACAUAAAUUGAGAGUAUUAUUCCUAGGUAUUUGACAAUUUUAUUUAUUUGUACAUUUGAUGUCUUUACAAGCAGUAU